rnacentral:rRNA from 1 species
AACGAACGCUGGCGGCAGGCUUAACACAUGCAAGUCGAACGCAUCCUUCGGGGUGAGUGGCAGACGGGUGAGUAACGCGUGGGAACGUGCCCUUCAGUUCGGGAUAACCCAGGGAAACUUGGGCUAAUACCGGAUACGUGCGAGAGCAGAAAGAUUUAUCGCUGAAGGAUCGGCCCGCGUCUGAUUAGCUAGUUGGUGGGGUAAUGGCCCACCAAGGCGACGAUCAGUAGCUGGUCUGAGAGGAUGAGCAGCCACAUUGGGACUGAGACACGGCCCGAACGCCUACGGGAGGCAGCAGUGGGGAAUAUUGGACAAUGGUCGCAAGCCUGAUCCAGCCAUGCCGCGUGAGUGAUGAAGGCCUUAGGGUUGUAAAGCUCUUUCGUCCGGGACGAUAAUGACGGUACCGGAAGAAGAAGCCCCGGCUAACUUCGUGCCAGCAGCCGCGGUAA